GUAGUUCGUUGGACGACCGCUUGCUCGUUAAACAGUAAGAGGAAAGUCCGGGCAGCAUAGGAUAGGGCAGUUGUUAACGGCAACCGGGGGAAACCCUAGGGAAAGUGCCACAGAAACAAAACCGCCCUCCUCGGAGGGUAAGGGUGAAAUGAGUGGGGUAAGAGCCCACAGCGUCAUAUGGUGACAUAUGGAGAAGGUAAACCCUGCCUGCUGCAAGGAGGUUGACACUAAAGAACGAUCCGUUCGUUGACCGAUACCCGCUUGAUCCUAGGGGCAACCCUAGGGCUAGAUAGAUGGUCGUCCUCGACAAAACCCGGCUUACAGGCGAACUACCUAA
rnacentral:RNase_P_RNA from 1 species